rnacentral:rRNA from 1 species
GAUCAUGGCUCAGGAUGAACGCUAGCUACAGGCUUAACACAUGCAAGUCGAGGGGCAGCAUUUUAGUUUGCUUGCAAACUAAAGAUGGCGACCGGCGCACGGGUGAGUAACACGUAUCCAACCUGCCGAUAACUCGGGGAUAGCCUUUCGAAAGAAAGAUUAAUAUCGGAUGGUAUAUUUUCUCCGCAUGGUGAGAAUAUUAAAGAAUUUCGGUUAUCGAUGGGGAUGCGUUCCAUUAGUUUG